CUUGCGCGCCACGCGUGAGACGUGUGUUGGGCGUGAACCCUAGCCCCCCAAUCUAGAGCCGCCACACCUCCCCCCUCCUCCUUCCCUCGUCCGCCGCCGCACUUCCUCCCUCCUCCCUCGUCGCCACACCCUUCACCCUAGCACCGCGCGCUCGUUCUGUCGUCGCAUAUACCAUCGCUGCCGGCCCCUGCCAUGGUGUCGCGGCGCUCUUCCUGCGCCCUCGCGUCCGACCUCACCAGGUCCUCGAUCUCGGCCUCAUCGGCUUGCUGCGGCGGCCGCUCUCGACGCCGUCCUUGCGACACGACAGCGGCAAACCCGAGCGCCGACAACUAAUGUGGUGGUGCAGCGGACGGCAGCCUCAGCGGGCGAGCGACGGAGACUGCAACUGGUGCACAAGCUCGCACCUCAAUGCGUCCGUGCUUGAAUAGCUCGCAUCUUCACGGCCACCAAGUGCACAGGCCAGUAGUUAAAUUUUCUGUGGAUGAGUCCUUGUCGGAUGGAUGGUGACUAACGAGAUGCACUUCUUUGCCACAAGUAAUUUUAAUAAAGGGAUUGUGUACAAGUGUUCAAAUCUUUUCUUGUGAGAAGGAUGCACAAAAUCAAGUUUUUUGUCGGUAGGAGCUUUUUUCGCUGUCCAACUGUUCAGUUCCACUGGAACAAGGGGUCCACUGGACUUCUAUUGUUUCCGAACUUGAUGUGGAUAAAAUCAACCAGAGUAUUAUGGUGAAACCAAGUUUCACCACUUGACAACUUACAGGGCCUUUCAAGGAAUUGUUCCUGUCAAAAAUGAGGGGCCAAUGUAUGAUGUUCAGUGGUCUUCUUCAGGUUCUGAAUUUGUUGUGGUCUAUGGAUAUAUCCUUACAUCGUCCUUACAUGAACCAUAACAUUUCUGGUUUAAUGUCUUUGUUUUCUACAAUUGUUCCUUGACUAAAUCUUGGUUAGGCCGGCCAGAGCACCAAUAUUCAGCCAAAAAUGCAAUCCUCUUCACGAGCUUGGUGAAGGCCAUUAUAAUACGAUAAGAUGGAAUCCUGAAGGGCGAUGUAAGUCAUGUAACCUUGCAAUAAUUUGAUCAGCCGGUCGUGCUAUGUUCUCUGGUCUGAGUGGGUGUGUGUGUCUAUAUAUAUAUAUAUAUAUAUAUAUAUAUAUAUAUAUAUAUAUAUAUGUGCACACCCUUCUGUUAUAGUUUGGUUAUUAGCAUAGCAAUAUGCGUCUAACAAAUUGUUCAUGUUCUGUUAUUGCUUGCUUUCAUGUAAGAAAAAAAUCAUGUUUAUCUUGGUGAUAUCCUUGACCUAAGUUUCUCCACUAAUUAUUGUUAUACUUGGACAUGGUAAUUUGCCUGGUGAUAUUGUCACUAAAAUUUGUAUUAGACAAUAGCCUUAACAGUUAGAAUGAGUAAACAUUCUGAUUGGGGAAGUCUUGUCUGGUUUAAGAGAGCCUAUGACAGACUACAAAAGCAAAAAAGGGCAUGCUUUGAUAUUUCUUUAUGUGGUUGCCACAUAGCUCACAGUUUUUUUGUCUAGCUUUCUGGGACUAUUCAGAAAGAAAUUAGUAGGGAAAACAAAGGCUAAAUGGCAUGUGCGAUGGUCGCCAUUUUCCGAUAGUCACUAUAGCUCCAAGGCUUCAAAUGGAUAAUGAGUACAUUUCCUGCAACUUUAGCAUGAUAAUGGAAAUGGUGGAGGAUCCUUACAUGAUUAUCUUCAUAUUUCCUGGUGCAGUUUAAGAAGAUGUGUUGAAAAACUGUAUCAGGUAUGUCGACAGCAUAACAGGUUUCUCUGUAAUCUAUAUCCCUUGUUGGUACUAAAAAAUUAGCGACAUGUCGAAGAAAUAAAUAUGCAAGCCCUCACAUUGCCCUCAUGAUUGUUGCUUCUGAAUUGUACAUGUUGAAUAGAAGCCAGAAUAUCCUGAAAGACUUGGUGACAUUGCUGACCUCACAAUAUCUUUGUAUAGCAUAAAAAUGGAGAAACAAAGAAGUAAUGUUCCAGUAUAUUUGCAGAGGUGAAAUAUUAACGCCAGUUCGAGCGCACCGGCCUCGAUGGCAAGAGACCACUACCAUCAGUGUAGUGGUAUAGCAUACUGUGAGCAAUCAGGAACAAAAACAGGAGGUUUAAUUUUCACAAAUCGGUACUGCAUAUUUUUCAGAAGAUAUGCAUUGUGAUUGAACAUGAGAAAUCCUUUACCUCCCUAUACUUCAAGGUGUGUUCUGCUCUAAAAUGACAAGCACCCAACGAAGUGAGAGCGCAAACCACAUGUUGAAGAGUUAUAUGCCACCUGCUAGCCCGAUGCACAUUUUUGUGAGGCAGUAUAUGAGGCUCCAGUUUGACCAUGGGAAGGAGGAAAGUUACGAAAGGACUAUUUGUCAGAAAAACUGAUGUAUCUGUUUGUUAUUCACCGUUGCUGAUUAAUUUUCAAUUUUUCAUUCUCAGUAAAACUGAUGUGUGCUGAUGGUGGCAGGGAGGUGUCGUGAGGAGAGCAAAUCUGGCAAAUGGCAAUAGAGCAGCAUGCAAGCAAAGUGUACACCUGUGCUAUGUUUUGGAGCCCCGUCGAAAGGUUUGGAGGCCCAGGAAGGUAGUGUUGGGGCGUCCGUCGGCGUGAAUGCGCUUCAAUGACUAGCACCACCGGAGUAGCAGAGAGGUGUAGGGAGGCCGUCGAACAGCCGGGAGAAAGCACCACACGAGGGUCUGAGCAAGCAUACCAGGUUUUGCAGCAUCUGCCCCCGUGAAGGCCACAAGCCGACGACAUGCCCUGAUCGUGGAGAAGCACCUAAACAGCCCCGCAAACCCGGAAAGUGCAAGAACUGUUGAAUGGAAAGGCGCCGCAGGAACACGUGCACACGCCUACUGGGUGGUGCACAUAUGUAGUCUAGAAGAUUUAAAAUUUCGUGUGUAAUGUGUGAUUCAAGGAUUUUCUGGUGUGUGUUGUGAGCCAUGCUCCACGAUUGUUCCUCCAGUGCUUAAUCUUAGUGCUGUUGUAUUCCAUAGUGUUGUAUGGUAAGUCCGUAACUCAACAGAACUUCACAAUUAUGAUAGAAAAAAUGUUGGGCGUGAUAUCUACAUUUUCCAAUC